CGUACACUCCUACGGGAGGCAGCAGUGGGGAAUAUUGCACAAUGGGCGCAAGCCUGAUGCAGCCAUGCCGCGUGUAUGAAGAAGGCCUUCGGGUUGUAAAGUACUUUCAGCGGGGAGGAAGGCGAUAAGGUUAAUAACCUUGUCGAUUGACGUUACCCGCAGAAGAAGCACCGGCUAACUCCGUGCCAGCAGCCGCGGUAAUACGGAGGGUGCAAGCGUUAAUCGGAAUUACUGGGCGUAAAGCGCACGCAGGCGGUCUGUCAAGUCGGAUGUGAAAUCCCCGGGCUCAACCUGGGAACUGCAUUCGAAACUGGCAGGCUAGAGUCUUGUAGAGGGGGGUAGAAUUCCAGGUGUAGCGGUGAAAUGCGUAGAGAUCUGGAGGAAUACCGGUGGCGAAGGCGGCCCCCUGGACAAAGACUGACGCUCAGGUGCGAAAGCGUGGGGAGCAAACAGGAUUAGAAACCCCAGUAGUCCCAUGAU
rnacentral:rRNA from 1 species